CGCAAUGGGCGAAAGCCUGACGGAGCGACGCCGCGUGAUGGAUGACGUUCUUCGGGAUGUAAACAUCUUUUAUGAGGGAAGAAGCCGCGUUAUGCGGUAUGACGGUACCUCAUGAAUAAGGGGUUGCUAAACUCGUGCCAGCAGCAGCGGUAAUACGAGUACCCCAAGCGUUACCCGGAUUUAUUGGGCGUAAAGGGUGUGUAGGUGGAUAUAUUAGUCUCUUGUUAAAGACGUGCGCCUAACGUACGGAGUGCGAGGGAAACGGUAUAUCUUAGAGUAUGCGAGAGGUGAACGGAACUCACGGUGUAGGGGUGAAAUCCGUUGAUAUCGUGGGGAACACCAA
rnacentral:rRNA from 1 species